CCGCCCCGCGUCGCCCCGCAGGAAGUUCAUGAGCACGGUCUCCGCCAUGUCGUCGGCGUUGUGGCCUGGGGGAGAGAGACGGGGAGCCGUUGCUUUUUCAGGAGGGUCAGUCUCAGUUGAAGGUGUACGUCACACGUCACACGGCACCGGCACCGGAGAAGUCAAAGCGGCCUCUAACGGUCAGUGGAGGUGUUGCCGUCCCAGUGCGGGGAAUGCGGUCACCGCGUGCAGGAAGGCCAGCGAGAGCUUCGGUAUUUCCUCAACAGUCACCAUAAACGUCACCUAAACGUCUA